rnacentral:rRNA from 1 species
CCUACGGGAGGCAGCAGUGGGGGAUAUUGCACAAUGGGGGGAACCCUGAUGCAGCGACGCCGCGUGGGUGAAGAAGUACCUCGGCGCGUAAAGCCCUAUCAGCAGGGAAGAAAAUGACGGUACCUGAAGAAGAAGCCCCGGCUAACUACGUACCAGCAGCCGCGGUAAUACGUAGGGGGCAAGCGUUAUCCGGAUUUACUGGGUGUAAAGGGGGCGGAGACGGCGAUGCAAGCCAGGAGUGAAAGGCCGGGGCCCAACCCCGGGACUGCUCUUGAAACUGCGGGGCGGGAGUGCAGGAGGGGCAAGCGGAAUUCCUGGUGUAGCGGUGAAAUGCGUAGAUAUCAGGAGGAACACCAGUGGCGAAGGCGGCCUACUGGACUGCAACGGACGUUGAGGCUCGAAAGCGUGGGGAGCAAACAGGAUUAGAUACCCUAGUAGUC